CCACCAGGACCCCCUGGUUGGCUACCAAGCCACCUCGGAGAGCGGUGGUGGCCACCACCAGGGGCUGGUGGCCACCGAUGGCCACCACCAUGCCGUGACGGAGACCACCCUUUGGGUGGCCACCACCAGUGACCACCAGCCACCGACAAAGCCCACCACUGGUCACCAAGUUUUGGGGGGGUUCACUAGCCACCAGCCACACUUGGAGACCACCAGUGGCCACCAGAAGAAGGCGGUGGCCACCAAUGAAGGCCAGAUGACCUCCUGGGUCCCCAUGGGCCACCGGCCAACGUUGGAGGCCACCACUGGCCACAGCGUGAUAGAGACGGACACCACUGAAGACCAAAUGACCCCCUUGGUCCCCACUAGCCCACAGCCAGUUUUAGUGGCCACCGGUGGCUACCAACCACCUUGGAUGACCACCGUUGGCCACCAAUCACCUUUGAAGACCACCGUUGGCUACCAAUCCCCUUCGAAGGCCACCGUUGGCUACCAAUCACCUUCGAAGACCACCAUUGGCCACCAAUGGCCUUGGAAGACCACCGUUGGCUACCAACCACCUUCGAAGACCACCGUUGGCCACCAAUGGCCUUGGAAGACCACCACUGGCCACCAAUCCCCUCGCAAGCCCACCACUGGCCACCACCCAACCCCGUUGACCACCCUUGGCCACCACCCAACCCCGCUGGCCACCACCGAGCUCCUCUUGGCCAACCCGGGGGCAACACCAGCCCCCCAGAGCAGCUCGUGGCGCUGGCUACUGGUGGCCUUGGUGGUAGCCAUGUUGGUGGCCAUGCUCUUGGUGGCCUGGUGGCAAGUCCGCCGCCGGCGCCACUCGGGCUCCACCUCCUUCGGGCCCUGGGCCGGCCCGGCCUUGGUGGCCGAGGACGAUGGCGGCGGUGGUGGUGGCCCGGCCGCGGUGACCCAGCCCUUGGUAGCCACGGUGGCCACCAUGCAGCAGGAGCCCACCCUCAGCACCUUCCGGGCCGCCUUCGGCUCCGUGGCCAUGGAGGAGCUGACGGCCACCAAAGGGGAAGAAGCGCCGGCCAAUGGGGAGCCCGGGGCUCAGGCCACGCCCACCACUUAGCCCCGCCCACCCAAAAAAAAAGCUCCGCCCCCUUUAGCCCCGCCCAAGGGACCCCGGUGGUCCCCGUCCCCAAUUUUGUGCCAUUUGUCCCCAAUUUCCUAUUCCCUGCCCCCAAUUUCAUGUCCUUUGUCCCCAAUUUCCUGUCCCCAAAUUUUGCUUCCCCUGUCCCCAAUUUUGUGUCAUUUGUCCCCGAUUUCCUAUUCCCUGUCCCCAAAUUUCCUGUCCCCUUUCCCCAAUUUCCUGUCCCCAAUUUUGGGUCUCCAGUCCCAAAAUUUCCUGUCCCCUUUCCCCAAAUUUUGUGUCCCCAAUUUAAUGUUCACUGUCACCAAUUUUGUGUCAUUUAUCCCCAAUUUCAAGUCCUUCAUCCCCAGUUUCCUGUCCCCAAUUUUGGGUCUCCUGUCCCCAGAUUUCAUGUCCCCCGUCCCCAAUUUAGUGUCCCCUUUCCCCAAUUUCCUGUCCCCAAUUUUGUGUCCCCUGUCCCCAAUUUCCUCUCCCUGUCCCCAAUUUUGUGACAAAAUUUAUA
rnacentral:lncRNA from 1 species